GUUCAUCUCCUUAAGCACCUCUUGGAACAUCCGUCCCCUGUAAGCAACAAGGUCUGCAUAGUAAACUGGUGGAACAAGUGAAACAGGUUUAGUGCACCGCGCAAAAGUGAAGCACAA